rnacentral:rRNA from 1 species
GAGUUUGAUCCUGGCUCAGGACGAACGCUGGCGGCGUGCCUAAUACAUGCAAGUCGAGCGAGGGUUUUUAAGACCCUAGCGGCGGACGGGUGAGUAACACGUAGGCAACCUGCCUCUCAGACCGGGAUAACAUAGGGAAACUUAUGCUAAUACCGGAUAGGUUUUGGAUUGCAUGAUCCGAAAAGAAAAGAUGGCUUUUUGCUAUCACUGGGAGAUGGGCCUGCGGCGCAUUAGCUAGUUGGUGGGUAACGG